ensembl:lncRNA
UGAUCAGCCAACAUAAUGCAAUGUUGUCCUAAAAAACCAUGGGAACUGGCUUUUAUUUAGUUCUUGCUGUAAUGGGGAAGUCUUUAGGACCCAGGGGACCCAAUGGAGGGUAUAAAAGAGGAAGUAGCAGCAGGUGCUCUCCAUUUUCCACUGACGAGCGGCUGUGAACAAUGGUUGUGUGAGUAGGUGAAGAGCCUGAGAAGUUUUAAUUGUCUGCUACACAAACAGUUGUUUUAAACCUCUACAGCAGAGGUUCGAGGUACAGGCUGUUUUUCUUUUAGUGUUUUUUUUUAAAUUUGUUGAAAUGUAUUUGAUGUUUAUUGUAUUUUAUGUUUUAGUAGUGAUUUUCACAAGAUAAGCCAAGAUAAGCCAGGUGUGCAGCAAACACAGUUGUCUGCUGGAGGUAUGUUAACUUAAUAUAUUUGACAUUAAAAAAAAUAUAUUGAUGCACUAUAAUCUAAUUUAUAUUGUAUUGCCUCCUGCAGGGCAGGCUGCACAUGUGAAUUUGUCGCUUUUUUUUUUCCUCCUUCUCCUUGUUGUUGUGUUUUUGGUUUUGGUAGGGUCACCUUUUAAAACUGUUUUUUUAUGCCGGGUUUGUUUUUAUUUCUACUGGGCUGGUGCAAUAUUAGUCGGGCAUUGUGCAAUCCCUGAGUGGGGCUCUUACCUUAGGGGAAUUAGGAUCUUUAGAGGUGCUCUGUGUGGAUUUGCAGUGAAUAGGUUUUUAUUAAGAGUGAUUUUUAGUGCCACCGAUUAUUGCCUGAACUAGCACUUAGUGCAUGCGAUAAGUGUUCUGUUGGGCUCGUAUUUAUUUGGGGUGGAUUUGUUUCUUUUAAAGCAACGAGCAUCUGGGACCGCCAAGGGAGAGCAAGCCCUCAGGUGAUAGUUGCAUUGCUGGCAGGUUGCACCAAUAACACUAUCUUGUGGUCGUUAGUGACCUUUUACCAUUUUGAUGUUUUAGGCCUUUUGCAAACCCUUUGUGUUCUUUUAAAAUAAUAAAUUUUAACAUAUCUGACUGAUAUUGACCCUCUUGUCCUGUUUAUUCUGGGCUCGUUCCUGUGAGAGCUUUGGGCCUGAAAGUUUGCACAAGUAGUAUAGAGGCCCUUAGCGGUUACUCGGUGGCUUUCGCUCGCUACAUUGCCACGUAUCACCC